rnacentral:rRNA from 1 species
CCGUUCGCCUGGGAACUACGAGCACUAGCUUAAAACCCAAAGGACUUGGCGGUGCUUUAGAUCCACCUAGAGGAGCCUGUUCUGGAACCGAUAACCCCCGUUUAACCUCACCCUCCCUUGCUUAUUCCGCCUAUAUACCGCCGUCGUCAGCUUACCCUGUGAAGGCAGCAUAGUAAGCAAAACCAGUACAACUCAAAACGUCAGGUCGAGGUGUAGCAUACGGGAGGGGAAGAAAUGGGCUACAUUCUCUGGUUAAGAGAAUACGGAUAAUGACAUGAAAAAUCAUUUGAAGGAGGAUUUAGUAGUAAGCAAAAAGCAGAGUGUUUUGCUGAAACCGGCCCUGAAGCGCG